GCCUGUAUCCAUCCCAGUGCGAAGUACAGUGCCUGGCACAUGGCAACAGACCUGAAUACGCCUGGGGCACAUCUGCAUUUCAGAAGACAGCUUGUUUUAAUGGAAAAAACCUGGGCCUGGGAGUCAGGAGACCUGGUGUCUAGUCUUCCUCUCUGCCACUUGCCUUCUGUGGGACUUUGGACAAGUCACUUCACCUCUCUAGGCCUCAGUUUACUCAACUGCAAAAUGGGGAAAAAAAGGCAAGGAUCACAUCUGGCCUUGAACAGGAAUCCCAAGCACCUAACAACAAGAUAUACUUGGCCUAAAACUCCAGUAAUUAUUUUCUGACAAUUUUUUCAUCGAUGGCUUACUGACUCAACCUCUGAAAGAUGGAGAUGUGGUCUUCCAGGAACCAGCAACGGCCAGGCUAAGCCGUGACAAUACCACCCAGACUCGCUCUAGACCACUGUUGGAGAUUCACUUCAGAAGGCACCUCCAGACCUUUCUGGAACAAGCAAGAAAGCUGCUCAGUGUAUCCAGCUCCACCACCUUACAUGCUGUGUGACCUUGGGACAGAAAGAUCAACCACCUCCACCUGCUCCCGGCGGAUUGUUGAUGGGAGGAUCCAGGAUGCCCACGGCCUAUGCCAAAGCUGCUUAAGGCCCUGCCCAAAGGCAAAGUCAACUCUUUGUAGGCCCUCGGUCGACUACCUGUCUUGGGCUAAGCCUGACCUCGUGGGCAUUACUCAGGACAAGGUGUAGUAUGUGGGUACAGAGAGCAUGUGGGCCUCACAGACCAAAGUGGGUCUGCACCACCAUGGGUGCAAAUUCAAACCAACAGUUAUACCCUGACUGCUUCAAACUACUGGCUGGACCUACCUCCUCUCCACUGUUUAACUAGACCCAAGGUUUAAGUAUUUACUAAUGCCUGGCUCUGGCUCUGGCUCUGACUCUGUUGUGGCCUGAAAACACUUGCAUGAAGUCAGUGAGUUAAACAUUGAUUUGUAUUAAAUGGAUUGUGCUGGAUCAGCACUCUCCUCUCUGGAGAGAAACAGGGCCAAUUCCAGGGACAUGCCAAGUGCCGGCGUGAGAGGACUGGGUGUUUCCUGUCCCUGGCUCUUCAGGGUCCCCGGCCUCCCUACCCCAAAAAACCUCUAUGAUGGAGAACCCUGUCAUCAGGCAAAACCCAGGCCCCACCAUUUGCCCAGAGGGUACCCCUUAGCAGCAGGCCCUUUGGAGGGCCAGGUCCUAGGACCAGGGCUCUGCUCCAUGCCUUGCCUUCAGGCUUCAGACCCUCUAGGCUGUUUCUCCUCUGUUAGCCUGAGCUCUUCCUUCUCUCUGUCACCUGAUGGUCUUUCUCAGCCAAAGGAUAUUGACUUCUGGGGGCCUUGUCUUGGCCAAUGUUAUCUCCACAAUAGACUCUGCUUCUGAUAGCUUAUUUCUUCUCACAUUUCUUAGAAUGAAAAUGCAGAAUGUGCUGGGGGAGGGGAGGAUGGAAGGCUAGCCUGGAGGAAUAAAUAGAAGAGGAUAAAGCUCUGGUGGGCCAUUUGUUGGAAGAGUACAGGAUGUACUUGGAAAAUGCUGUGUUGGCCUUUCAAUGCCCCAUUUAAAGAAAACCAAACAAAAAAAAAACAAACAACAUACAGCUCACAUUCAUUUUGCAAGAGUGCCUGAUUCUCCCUUUGAGAAGGUGAAGAUAAGCCCCAUGGGGGAAUCGGGGUAGGCAGAGCAUAUAACUUGUUCUAUUUACUCCCAAAUCAAAUCAGGCCUCAGACAACAAAGCCAGAUGACUAUGAAGGUCAGUGUUAGGAGAAAACUCACCAUUCCUCAUCAAGAUAUAAUCUCUCCUCCUGGACAAUGGGGUUGGGGAAAACUGUCCAGAGAGUGGUCGGAGCCCAGCAGGGAGAGGUGGUUUUUUUUUUUUCUCUUUUAACUUAUUUGUCUCUAUUCAUUCUUCCACCAGCCAGAUCCAGAACCUGGCCAAACUGUCCAAACGGUCUGAAUGUGAAUUGAAAAAUCCCAUCUUGUAAUACUAGUAGUUCUAUGGGUCCACUACCAGAACUGCAGGUUUAGGUGGGGUAUCCUGGGACAGACGUGUCCAUGGAGUCACUAUGGAUCAGAAAUGACUCAACAGCCUAAGACAAGACAAGUAGUGGAAGUAAUAGGAGCAGCAGUUGUAAUAGUAUUCAUUAAGUUCUUACUGUGUGCAGAGCCCUGUACUAGUGCUGGGAGCAAAUCCUCAGGUGGAAUUUAUAUCUAAAUAACAGUAGUAGUAAGUAGAAGUAGUAAGGGAAUAUAUUGAGCACUCACUGGGUGCAGUCACUGUACUAUGUGCUUUAGAGAGCACAGUAGAAGUGUAACACAUAACUCCUUCCCACAAGGAGCUUGCCCUCUAACACAGGAGACUGGCAUAAAAAUAUUUACAACUGGGCAAUCCAAAUAAAUACAUUUAUGAUAAAAUUGGUCAUACAAAGGGACAGAAGUGCUGAGAGGAGAUAUAAAUAUAUAAGUAUGUAAGUGUUGGAGAGAGAGUCAGGAACAAAUUGAGCAGCAAUGCGUAGUGCGGGGCAGCCAACUCUGGGUAGAUAGUGUGUUCCAUUCAUAUCUCUCUCUCUCUCUCUCUCUCUCUCUCAUUUCCCAUCACAUUAUCUCAUAGCCCUGAAUACUAUUCCAAACCCAACAAAAGGUCCGUAGGAUUUUAAAGAAGACAUAGGGUCUCAUUUGACCGUUGUUACACCUUUGUAGGGAGCUUAAAUCAGUCGAUCAAUCAAUCAUUCAGUGAUUGUGAUCGAAUUUAACUUCCAAAGAGGAGAGACUUGGGAUACUGUGGCCAAUUGGGUAGUUCGGAUUCAGUGAGUAGAGUGAUAGACUGAAAACCAGGACACUUGGAACCUGCCCACAGCUGAUACAUAUCUAUUGGGAAAUAAAGUGAAACGGGGUGCCAUUUUCGUGUCUUUGCCUACUGUACUGGAUCCCCACCAUACAGGCUGAAAGAUUUGAGUUAACAGUGGAAGGGGGCAAUCGGUACUAGAGGCCAAAAACGGUCACAAAAAGGGAGGGGUAGUGAGCUGUUAUUUGACUGACCUUCUCAAGUAUUUUCUUCUCCAAGAAUCACAGGUCCCAGGUCUCGAGGCAGCCCAGUUCCUGGGUUCGCUUUCCAUGAUCAGCACCGAGUGCGGUUGACUGGCAAGAGAACAGGUCUGGGAGUUGGGAGAUUUGAGUUCUACUCCUAACUUUGCCACUGGACUGUCGAGACACCUUGGGCAAGUCACUUACCCUCUCUGUAGCUGAGUUUCCUCAUCCAUAAAAUGGAGAUGAUGUUACCAGCCUCUCCCUAUCUCACAGGCGCAUUGCAAGGACAAAGAAAAGAUGUGAAAGCAAUGGAAAAAUGAAAAUGCUGUAUAAAUUCGAUUAAAUUUAUUAAAUUAACUCAUGAAAA